UUAUGGUCAGCCACACUGGGACUGAGACACUGCCCAGACUCCUACGGGAGGCUGCAGUCGAGGAUCAUUGUCAAUGCGUGAAAGCGUGAACAUGCGACGCUGCGUGGAGGAUGAAGGCCUUCGGGUCGUAAACUCCUGUCAUUCGGGAAAAAUCACCUUAUCUUGAAUAAGGAUAGGGUUUGAUGGUACCGGAAGAGGAAGCCACGGCUAACUCUGUGCCAGCAGCCGCGGUAAUACAGAGGUGGCUAGCGUUGUUCGGAUUUACUGGGCGUAAAGGGUGCGUAGGCGGUACCGUGUGUUGGAUGUGAAAUCUUACGGCUCAACCGUGAAAUUGCAUUCAAAACUGCGGAACUUGAGUACAGGAUGGGAGAGCGGAAUUCUUGGUGUAGCGGUGAAAUGCGUUGAUAUCAAGAGGAACACCGGUGGCGAGGGCGGCUCUCUGGAAUGUUACUGACGCUGAGGCACGAAAGCUGGGGGAGCAAACAGGAUUAGAUACCCUGGUAGUCCCAGCCGUAAACGGUGUCGACUUGGUGUGGGAGGAAUUGACCCCUUCCGUGCCGGAGCUAACGCGUUAAGUCGACCGCCUGGGGAGUACGGCCGCAAGGCUAAAACUCAAAGAAAUUGACGGGGGCCCGCACAAGCGGAGGAGCAUGUGGCUUAAUUCUAUGCAACGCGAAGAACCUUACCAGGGCUUGACAUGAUACUGCUAGUCCCGUGAAAGUGGGAUUCCUUCGAGGGUGUAUCACAGGUGCUGCAUGGCUGUCGUCAGUUCGUGCCGUGAGGUGUUGGGUUAAGUCCCGCAACGAACGCAACCCCUGUGGUUAGUUGCCACCGUGUGUGAUGAGCCCGCGAGCACUUUAGCCAGACUGCCCGUGCAAGCGGGAGGAAGGUGGGGACGACGUCAAGUCAGUAUGGCCCUUACGCCCUGGGCUGCACACGUGCUACAAUGGUCGGUACAAAGGGACGCAAGACCGCGAGGUGGAGCAAAUCCCCAAAACCGGCCUCAGUUCGGAUUGGAGUCUGCAACUCGACUCCAUGAAGUCGGAUUCGCUAGUAACGGCGUAUCAGCUACGGCGCCGUGAAUACGUUCCCGGGCCUUGUACACACCGCCCGUCACAUCAUGAAAGCCGUCUGCACCCGAAGUCGCUGACCCGACCUUGAUUUAUCAGGGAGGGAGGUGCCGAAGGUGUGGGUGGUGAUUGGGAUGAAGUCGUAACAAGGUA
rnacentral:rRNA from 1 species